rnacentral:lncRNA from 1 species
UUUAACACAAUUUUUCCCCAGAUUCAUAAGAAAAGGACAGUUUCAGAAAUUCCCUGAGAAAUCCAUUUACUCUGUAUUCAGAAGAAACUGAUCUCCCGCACACGUCAUUGAUAUUCUCUUUCUAUUAUUUCAUUCACAAGUAUCACCCAUUUCUUCGCCAAUGUUUUGUAUCUUGCUUCACUGGAAAGCUGCAUAGAUGUCAAACAGAAUGUUUUGUUCUGAAUUUGCUGUGAAUUAUCUAGUUGAAAGAAGAUGAUCAGAUCCUAGUAGUACUUCCCCUCAAAUAUUUUUGGCCCAUGUACUUGAACACAUGUUGCAAAUAGUGAUUUUAAUGGCUGAAACAUGAACAUCAG